AGUGAACGCUGGCGGUAGGCCUAACACAUGCAAGUCGAACGGCAGCACAUUAAUGGCUUGCUCUUACGGGUGGCGUUUUGUGGACGGGUGGGGAAUACAUCGGAAUCUACUUUUUCGUGGGGGUUAACGUAGGGAAACUUACGCUAAUACCGCAUACGACCUCCGGUUGAAACCAGGGGAUCUUCGGACCUUGCGCGAUUGCAUGAGCCGAUGUCGGUUUAGCUAGUUGGCGGGGGAAAGGCACACCCAGGCGAGGACCCGUAGCGGGACUGAGAGGAUGGACAGACAAACUAGAAGUGAGACACGGUCCAGACUCCUACGGGAGGAAGCAGUGGGGAAUAUUGGACGAUGGGCGCAAGCCUGAUACAGCAAUACCGCGUGGAUGAAGAAGGACUUCGGGUUGUAAAGCCAUUUUGUUGGGAAAGAAAAGAAGCAGGAUAAGAACCCGCUGUUCUAACGGUACCCAAAGAAUAAGCACCGGCUAACUUCGUG
rnacentral:rRNA from 1 species